CAAUAGCGUAUAUUAAAGUUGUUGCGGUUAAAAAGCUCGUAGUUGGAUUUCUGCUGAGAACGACCGGUCCGCCCUUUGGGUGUGUAUCUGGCUCUUUCUUGGCAUCUUCUUGGUGAACGUUGCUGCACUUGACUGUGUGGAGCGCUACCCAGGACUUUUACUUUGAGGAAAUUAGAGUGUUUCAAGCAGGCAGACGCCUUGAAUACAUUAGCAUGGAAUAAUAAGAUAGGACCUCGGUUCUAUUUUGUUGGUUUCUAGAGCUGAGGUAAUGAUUAAUAGGGAUAGUUGGGGGCAUUCGUAUUUAACUGUCAGAGGUGAAAUUCUUGGAUUUGUUAAAGACAGACUACUGCGAAAGCAUUUGCCAAGGAUGUUUUCAUUGA
rnacentral:rRNA from 1 species